rnacentral:tRNA from 1 species
GGGGAUUUAGCUCAGUGGUAGAGCGCUUGCCUAGCAAGCAUAAGGCCCUGAGUUCAGUCCCCA